rnacentral:rRNA from 1 species
UUAGACGUAACCAUCGAUUGCUUCUUCCAUCCGCAAUCCGCCAGAGGACUACAAGCACAACACUUAAAACUCCAAGGACUUGACGGUGUCCCACCCGUACUAGAGGAGCCUGUCCUAUAAUCGAUACCCCGCGCUUAACCUUACCCCCCCUAGAUACUCAGCCUAUAUACCGCCGUCGCCAGCCCAUCCCGUGAGUGCACCACCGGAAGCGCAAUAAUUACACAUUAACACGACAGGUCAAGGUGUAGCUUAUGGGGGGGACAGCGAUGAGCUACAUUUUCUUUACCAGAAAACACCAACCACAGGAUGAAAUAUCCUGCACCAAGGCGGAUUUAGAAGUAAGCCUUGGCAAGACAGGCCAAUCUGAAUUAGCCCUGGGACGA